UGAGUAACACGUUGGAACCUGCCCCAAAGUGAGGAAUAAGCCACCGAAAGGUGGUCUAAUACUUCAUAAUAUCCAUCUCGUAUGGAUUAAAGCUUUAUGCGCUUUGGGAGGGGCCUGCGUAACAUUAGCUAGUUGGUGAGGUAAAAGCUCACCGAGGCUUCGAUGUUUAACUGGUUUGAGAGGAUGACCAGUCACACUGGGACUGAGAUACGGCCCAGACUCCUACGGGAGGCAGCAGUAAGGAAUCUUCCACAAUGGGGGCAACCCUGAUGGAGCAAUACCGCGUGCAGGAUGAAGCGUUUCGGCGUGUAAACUGCUUUUAUCACCGAAGAUUAUGACUGUAGGUGAAGAAUAAGGACCGGCUAACUACGUG
rnacentral:rRNA from 1 species